GUUCGGGGUUCUUCUGUGUUGAAGUCUUCUGUCUCUUUCUUCCCAGCCGGCACAUGACCGACCUUCAACGUUGAAAUAUGGUUGAAAUAAGGUCAGUUGUGGUUUCAACGUUGAAACAACGUUGAUUCAACGUUUAAAGCUGAAUGGUUGAAAAACAUCCAGCACAUGACCAACUUUCAAUGUUGAAAUAUGGUUGAAAUAAGGUCAGUUGUGGUUUCAACGUUGAAACAACGUUGAUUCAACGUUUAAAGAUGAACUGUUGAAAAACUUCCAGCACAUGACCAACUUUCAACAUUGAAAUAUGGUUGAAAUAAGGUCAGUUGUUUUAAUGAAACAACGUUAAAAAUGUUUAAUGCUAAAUGGUAGAAAAAGGUUAACAAGCUUUUAAAUUAUUUAUAUUAAAUUAUUUAAAUUAAUUAUUAUUUUAAUAGCAUUUAAAAAUAUUUUAGUCAUGAUACCUAUUCUAAAAUCUAAAGGUAUAUGUUAAAUAUUAUCAUCAUUAACAACAAUAAAACUAUACAUUCCGCUGCUUUAUCACACUGAAGCAACUCCCAUUGGUAGUUUUAUUUUAUUACUUCUAUCGUGAUUGGUUAAUCUGGCUGUCAUUCAGGAAACUGGACAAUGAAUCGGUUCGCGCUUUUCUACAUUUAAAAAUAUGACCAUUGUUGUCGUCUUUCUGUGAGUGAGGCGGCUAACUGCUGCUCGUUAUAACUGACAGCUCGGUCGGUCCCGAAUUAUUUCAUAUUUGCCUGUACAUUUUUUAUUUAUUUUGAGCGAAUUUGAGUCGUGACCUGUCAAUGGAGAACAAAAACUGUGAACACAAGAAAGGUCAGGUGUUCUGCGAGGUCCUGAAAACAUCCUGUCAAAAUGAGCUGAUCAAGUUAGAUGCUCACCUAAUGUGUUACUGAGUCAUCGAGGAUCCAGCUUGUUCUUGAAACAUUGGUAAGAAAUUGUUCUUCUGCUACAUUGCACUGUCACUUCUGCUAGAGAUGCUUUGACCUUUUGUGAUAGGUUUUGAUUGUGCUUAGUUUAAUAAAAAUGUACUGAAUUUGAUUUGACUUGUUUUACUACACUGUAAUGUUAGUGUUCUGAUUAAAACAGUGUAACUGGGGGCUCUGAAAACACUGCUUGUGAAUAAUUUGUUAAUAUUGUACAUUUUCAUCUGAAUACAUUAAAUAAGUGUUUAAUGAAUAGUGUUGUCCACUUUGUUUCCAACCACACUGUUACUGAACUGUAAAGUGAAAAUAUUGUGUGAUUUAUUUUGCAUUCAGUUUUCAGUUAAAUAUAUUUCACAAUAUCAAAGUUAUUGUCAAACAUUGUGAACAUACCU
rnacentral:lncRNA from 1 species